rnacentral:rRNA from 1 species
AACGAACGCUGGCGGCAUGCCUAACACAUGCAAGUCGAACGAGACCUUCGGGUCUAGUGGCGCACGGGUGCGUAACGCGUGGGAACCUGCCCUUAGGUUCGGAAUAACUCCCCGAAAGGGGUGCUAAUACCGGAUAAUGUCUUCGGACCAAAGACUUAUCGCCUUUGGAUGGGCCCGCGUUGGAUUAGCUAGUUGGUAGGGUAAAAGCCUACCAAGGCGACGAUCCAUAGCUGGUCUGAGAGGAUGAUCAGCCACACUGGGACUGAGACACGGCCCAGACUCCUACGGGAGGCAGCAGUGGGGAAUAUUGGACAAUGGGCGAAAGUCUGAUCCAGCAAUGCCGCGUGAGUGAUGAAGGCCUUAGGGUUGUAAAGCUCUUUUACCCGGGAUGAUAAUGACAGUACCGGGAGAAUAAGCUCCGGCUAACUCCGUG